UAGGGAAUCUUCCGCAAUGGACGCAAGCCUGACGGAGCAACGCCGCGUGAGUGAAGAAGGAUUUCGGUUCGUAAAACUCUGUUGUUAGAGAAGAACAGCGCAUAGAGUAACUGUUAUGCGUGUGACGGUAUCUAACCAGAAAGCCACGGCUAACUACGUGCCAGCAGCCGCGGUAAUACGUAGGUGGCAAGCGUUGUCCGGAUUUAUUGGGCGUAAAGCGAGCGCAGGCGGUCAAUUAAGUCUGAUGUGAAAGCCCCCGGCUCAACCGGGGAGGGUCAUUGGAAACUGGUUGACUUGAGUGCAGAAGAGGAGGGUGGAAUUCCAUGUGUAGCGGUGAAAUGCGUAGAUAUAGGGAGGAACACCAGUGGCGAAGGCGACUCUCUGGUCUGUAACUGACGCUGAGGCUCGAAAGCGUGGGUAGCAAACAGG
rnacentral:rRNA from 1 species